UAGGGAAUCUUCCGCAAUGGACGCAAGUCUGACGGAGCAACGCCGCGUGAGUGAAGAAGGAUUUCGGUUCGUAAAACUCUGUUGUUAGAGAAGAACAGCGCAUAGAGUAACUGUUAUGCGUGUGACGGUAUCUAACCAGAAAGCCACGGCUAACUACGUGCCAGCAGCCGCGGUAAUACGUAGGUGGCAAGCGUUGUCCGGAUUUAUUGGGCGUAAAGCGAGCGCAGGCGGUCAAUUAAGUCUGAUGUGAAAGCCCCCGGCUCAGCCGGGGAGGGUCAUUGGAAACUGGUUGACUUGAGUGCAGAAGAGGAGAGUGGAAUUCCAUGUGUAGCGGUGAAAUGCGUAGAUAUAUGGAGGAACACCAGUGGCGAAGGCGACACUCUGAUCUGUAAAUGACAAUGAGGUUCGAAAGCGUGGGUAGCAAACAGG
rnacentral:rRNA from 1 species